UACGUAGGGGGCAAGCGUUGUCCGGAAUCAUUGGGCGUAAAGCGCGUGUAGGCGGCCCGGUAAGUCCGCUGUGAAAGUCGGGGGCUCAACCCUCGAAUGCCGGUGGAUACUGUCGGGCUAGAGUGCGGGAGAGGCGAGUGGAAUUCCUGGUGUAGCGGUGAAAUGCGCAGAUAUCAGGAGGAACACCAAUUGCGAAGGCAGCUCGCUGGAACGUAACUGACACUGAGAAGCGAAAGCAUGGGGAGCGAACAGG
rnacentral:rRNA from 1 species